rnacentral:misc_RNA from 1 species
GGUGCGAAGAAUGGUAAGAUUGGGUGGAAAAGAGAAUGCUGCACCGCACUGAGAUUGCGUUGAAGAAGGGGUGGACUCACAAUCCUGGUCGCACCCGACGUGGUGGCAAGAACCUGGCCUGGCGGCCAAAGAUCUCAGAUGCGAAGCUGAGCCAGUUUGUGCCCUUAGCGCUGGUGCACCCACGUCGACACCCUAACAACUGGCAAGAGCGGCAGUUCAACGCGCUGGGCUACACCAAGUGGCCGAAGGACAUCGGAUUCUACAACGCCGGCGACAACUUCGAGGUGACGCCCGAGGCGGCGUGGCGCCUGUACGUUCACGCGCGUGAUGAGCCCUAUUGGGGUAAGCUCCACUGCGAGAAGACGAUCAUUACGCUGCUGCCGGUGGUGGAGAAAGCGCCGAAGGAGAACAUGGAGCGAGUUCUGGAUGUGUUCCGGCACUAUCUUAAGCGCUACGGUGCCGACCACUACAUCUACAACGCCGUUAUGCAGGCUGCCGCCUUUGCCAAGAACUACGAGCAGACGGAGCAGCUAUUCAAGGAGAUGGAAACGUUGGGGCUGGAGCCCAACGCUCAGAGUUAUGUGAACAUGAUGCUGGCGGCGAAGCUGUGCGGCCUUCCACCCGAGAAGAGCGAGGCGUACUUCAAGCGGGCCGUGAAGGAUGGGGCGAUGCAGUCUGUCAUGCGCAUGGACACAGAGUUCAGGAUGUGGAUGGACCAGCUGGAUCGCUUGGGCUCCUUCACUGCCUCGUCCGGGUACCUUUCCGUUAACGAGGAAGGCGCCAAGCCAAUGCCUCGUGACAUGUGGGCCAUAUGGGGCUGGCAUCGCAGCGAGAGCAAGUUCAUUAGCCGCCACGACCUCAUUAUGCAACAGGUGCGUGCGCGUGUGCACAGCGGUAAGGAGCUCACUGGCACGGUGUACACCAAGACCCGGCGGCAGCCGUGGGCGAAGUUCAAUGGUAUGCUGCGCCACGACUACAAUGGACCAUCGUACCGUGCCCCUACCACCUUCCCAGAUGCACCCGAGUACACGAACGAGGCGGGGCACAAGGCCUUCUGAUAGCGGUGGAGGGAGAGCGGCGCUCUCCUUUGGAGGCAGCCUUCGCGUGCGUUUGUGCACAAACGCUUCAAGCGAUGCGACUUGUCCGUCGAUUUGUCGACGAUUCACGUCGAAAGCUGUGAAAAGUGCGCAACACUCACGCACGCACACCGCUUGUCCUGCCUCCGCCGUCGGUCCUUUGUCUUAUCUGCUGUGGCCUUAUCACAGGUUUUCUAUUUCUCGUCGUGCUGUCGGGGAAAGAGAAGCGUUUCUCGUGGUGGGCCUUCCUCGAGCCACCGACAAUAAAGGGAGGAGCACCCCUUCCUCCUCAUCCUUGUCCUACCCUCCCCUGCUCUUCCCUGCACAUGUGCAUGUGGGCGUAUUCCAGAGUCGAUGCAAGAGGGUGGUAGGAGGCAUCGGGCCACGUAUGGUUGGCCAGAAUGGAUUGGCGUGCAAGUGGCAAGUUGCGCUAAUGUGCGCUUUUUUUUUCUUUUUGCGUCCCCGACCACUUAAGGG